UACGUAGGGGGCUAGCGUUGUUCGGAAUCACUGGGCGUAAAGCGCACGUAGGCGGACUUUCAAGUCAGGGGUGAAAUCCCGGGGCUCAACCUCGGAACUGCCUUUGAUACUGUUGGUCUCGAGUCCGGAAGAGGUGGGUGGAAUUCCUAGUGUAGAGGUGAAAUUCGUAGAUAUUAGGAAGAACACCGGUGGCGAAGGCGGCCCACUGGUCCGGUACUGACGCUGAGGUGCGAAAGCGUGGGGAGCAAACAGGA
rnacentral:rRNA from 1 species